UAAAGCACUUUUGUCAGGGAAGAAAAGGUUCUGGCUAAUACCCGGAACUGAUGACGGUACCUGAAGAAUAAGCACCGGCUAACUACGUGCCAGCAGCCGCGGUAAUACGUAGGGUGCAAGCGUUAAUCGGAAUUACUGGGCGUAAAGCGUGCGCAGGCGGUUCGGAAAGAAGGAUGUGAAAUCCCAGGGCUCAACCUUGGAACUGCAUUCUUAACUACCGAACUAGAGUAUGUCAGAGGGGGGUAGAAUUCCGCGUGUAGCAGUGAAAUGCGUAGAUAUGCGGAGGAAUACCGAUGGCGAAGGCAGCCCCCUGGGAUAAUACUGACGCUCAUGCACGAAAGCGUGGGUAGCAAACAGGAUUAGAUACCCUGGUAGUCCACGCCCUAAACGAUGUCAACUAGCUGUUGGGCCCUUCGGGGCUUAGUAGCGUAGCUAACGCGUGAAGUUGACCGCCUGGGGAGUACGGUCGCAAGAUUAAAACUCAAAGGAAUUGACGGGGACCCGCACAAGCGGUGGAUGAUGUGGAUUAAUUCGAUGCAACGCGAAAAACCUUACCUACCCUUGACAUGUCUGGAAUCCUUUAGAGAUAGAGGAGUGCUCGCAAGAGAACCGGAACACAGGUGCUGCAUGGCUGUCGUUAGCUCGUGUCGUGAGAUGUUGGGUUAAGUCCCGCAACGAGCGCAACCCUUGUCAUUAGUUGCCAGCAUUCAGUUGGGCACUCUAAUGAGACUGCCGGUGACAAACCGGAGGAAGGUGGGGAUGACGUCAAGUCCUCAUGGCCCUUAUGGGUAGGGCUUCACACGUCAUACAAUGGUCGGGACAGAGGGUUGCCAAACCGCGAGGUGGAGCCAAUCUCAGAAACCCGAUCGUAGUCCGGAUUGCAGGCUGCAACUCGCCUGCAUGAAGUCGGAAUCGCUAGUAAUCGCGGAUCAGCAUGUCGCGGUGAAUACGUUCCCGGGUCUUGUACACACCGA
rnacentral:rRNA from 1 species